rnacentral:sRNA from 3 species
CCUCCGGGGGCAAGAGGUUCGACUCGAGCGCAGCGAGAGAACGUUGCGUCAGCAACGGCCCGCAGGGCGAGCCACGCAGUGGCGAGUCAUCCUCUAUCACCGACCA